UUUCCCUCUCUGCGACUCAUCACUCAAUUAUUUUCAUCUUUAGAUUCAUGCACUUCGUACAAGAAGAAAUUUUUUUAGGGGUAGUAGACAUUAAAUUGCAUGGAUCAGAUGGUUCGUAUGUAUUUAUAAACACCCAUACCCGGGCACCUCUUUGUAAGCUUGAAGCUGGAACUGUAUAUGGCUGCUUAUUAUGCUUAAUACUUUCUCUUCCUCUCUCUCCUUUUUGAGGAAGGAGGAAUUUUUGUUCUUCAAAGAGCAAGGUUAAAACAAUACACGGCCUGGUAGCCCUCACCUCCCUUCUUUAUGGGAGGAUGGUAACAAUGAACCUUCCAGUACUUUAAAAAUUGUUUCAUUAAUAUGUUCUUAUUCUCAUUUAGGAUAGGACGAUUUAUGCAUCUUGAUGAUACAUUUGGAAUAGGGGGAUCUGGGUGCAGUGGAGUUUUAGAGUUUUCAAGAAUUUAUUUCUUGUUUUUUUAUUUUCAUGAGUGAAUGCAGGGAUUCUCAGUUUAUGUUCUCUCUUUUGGUCUGAUAGUACAUUGGUUGGUCUUUAUUAACAUGUCUGAUCUAUGUCAGACUUAUAUGUUGUGACCAAGGAUUUCAGAACUUGUAGCUUACAGUUUAUAUCUUGGAUUGUCACAGUUUAUAUCAUUGUGAAUAAUUUGGAUCUUCACAGUUAAUCAACUUAGGUUUCAAUAACUAAAAAGUUAUGGUCACUUGAGGAUUGCAAAAUUUAUUGGAUAGGUAGAUUAAAUGUGUGAGUGGUCCAAAAUUAUUGAAAAGAGAAAAGGGAAAAGAAGAUUAUGAAAGUUGUGUGCAGCAUCACUUGGUUCCAGAAUUGCUAAUUGUACUUUUUUUUUUGUCAACAUCACUCUAUUGGAUUGAAAAAAUAAAGGAGCACCAUAACAGAUUAUUGCCAAAUGUACUUUUAAUAUCAUUAAAAAGAAA